UGGGGAAUAUUGGACAAUGGGGGAACCCUGAUCCAGCCAUGCCGCGUGUGUGAAGAAGGCCUUAUGGUUGUAAAGCACUUUAAGCGAGGAGGAGGCUCUCUUGGUUAAUACCCAAGAAGAGGGGACGUUACUCGCAGAAUAAGCACCGGCUAACCCUGUGCCAGCAGCCGCGGUAAUACAGAGGGUGCGAGCGUUAAUCGGAUUUACUGGGCGUAAAGCGUGCGUAGGCGGCUUUUUAAGUCGGAUGUGAAAUCCCCGAGCUUAACUUGGGAAUUGCAUUCGAUACUGGGAAGCUAGAGUAUGGGAGAGGAUGGUAGAAUUCCAGGUGUAGCGGUGAAAUGCGUAGAGAUCUGGAGGAAUACCGAUGGCGAAGGCAGCCAUCUGGCCUAAUACUGACGCUGAGGUACGAAAGCAUGGGGAGCAAACAGG
rnacentral:rRNA from 1 species